rnacentral:misc_RNA from 1 species
AACGCACGAGACCUGCGGACCUGCGGAGGGAUCAUUACCGAGUUUACAACUCCCAAACCCCUGUGAACUUAUACCUUUACUGUUGCUUCGGCGGGUCAUUGCCCCGGGGAAACAGGUGCCGCCAGGUCCCUGCCCCCCCGGAAACAGGCGCCCGCCGGGGGACUCAAACUCUUCUGUAUUUUUUGUUUACUGUAUACUGUCUGAGUAAAAAUUCAUAAUGAAUCAAAACUUUCAGCAAUG